GUGGGGAAUAUUGGACAAUGGGGGGAACCCUGAUCCAGCCAUGCCGCGUGUGUGAAGAAGGCCUUUUGGUUGUAAAGCACUUUAAGCGAGGAGGAGGCUACCGAGAUUAAUACUCUUGGAUAGUGGACGUUACUCGCAGAAUAAGCACCGGCUAACUCUGUGCCAGCAGCCGCGGUAAUACAGAGGGUGCAAGCGUUAAUCGGAUUUACUGGGCGUAAAGCGCGCGUAGGUGGCCAAUUAAGUCAAAUGUGAAAUCACCGAGCUUAACUUGGGAAUUGCAUUCGAUACUGGUUGGCUAGAGUAUGGGAGAGGAUGGUAGAAUUCCAGGUGUAGCGGGGAAAUGCGUAGAGAUCUGGAGGAAUACCGAUGGCGAAGGCAGCCAUCUGGCCCAAUACUGACACUGAGGUGCGAAAGCAUGGGGAGCAAACAGGAUUAGAAACACGUGUAGUCC
rnacentral:rRNA from 1 species